GAUGAAGAACGUAGCGAAAUGCGAUAAGUAGUGUGAAUUGCAGAAUUCAGUGAAUCAUCGAAUCUUUGAACGCACAUUGCGCCCUUUGGUAUUCCUUAGGGCAUGCCUGUUCGAGCGUCAUUUAAACCUUCAAGCCCUGCUUGGUGUUGGGUGUUUGUCUCGCCUCUGCGCGUAGACUCGCCUCAAAACAAUUGGCAGCCGGCGUAUUGAUUUCGGAGCGCAGUACAUCUCGCGCUUUGCACUCAUAACGACGACGUCCAAAAGUACAUUUUUACACUCUUGACCUCGGAUCAGGUAGGGAUACCCGCUGAACUUAAGCAUAUCAAUAAGCGGAGGA
rnacentral:misc_RNA from 1 species